GUUUGUGCUGAAGGCCUGUUUCCUAGACUACACACGGAGGACUAGCUCCUUGUUUGCGCCUAGGGGAAAGUCCCCAGACCUUGGGCAAAGAGUGCCACAUGCUCACUCAUGUAGACUUUCCCUGCUUCUCAUGGUUGAGCCCACCAAGAAGCUAUCCCGCCCCGUGCUGGGGGCAGCUAAGUGGUCUGUGGCGAGGUAUCAUCCAUCAGCAGGCUGUGUGUCUGAGCACACACCAGUCUCACAAGGCUCAAUCUCAGCACGCA
rnacentral:RNase_MRP_RNA from 1 species